AUGAAUGUUCCUGGCUAUAUAUGCACCAGGAUGGGGGCCCCUGCACCCAUUUAAAAAUGCUAACUGCUGCGCUCCUUGUUCUCCUCCUGCUGGUUCUAGCCCUGCUGACAAGGCGGCAUGGGGGGUUCGGCUUUCCGAAGAACUCGGGGAGGCUGCCCGGGCCUCGGGCCUUGCCCUUCGUUGGCAAUCUCCUCCACCUGUUCCAUCCUGACCUUCCCAUCCACUUCCAUGACUUGGCUCGGCAAUAUGGCUCCAUCUUCCGCCUUCGCCUUGGCAGCAAAGACAUGGUGGUUCUGAACAGCACGGAUCUGAUUCGGGAGGCGCUGCUGCGGAAAUGGUCUGAUUUUGCAGGACGGCCUCAUGGAUUUGUUGCAGACCUUGUUUCGUUGGGAGGCAAGGACCUCUCCUUGGGCAACUAUACGCCGACCUGGCGUCUGCAGAGAAAAAUGGCCCACGUAGCUUUCCAGCGCUGCCUGCGAGGAAACAUGGAGCAGAUUGUCCAGAGCCAGGCUCGUCAGCUCUGCAAGGCUUUCCAUGGUUAUGGGGGCAAACCUGUGGAUUUGGCUCAGGAUUUCUCUCUGCAAGCCUGUGGGAUCAUCUGCAGCGUCUUGUUCGGCCCUUUGGACAAUUUCACCAUUGAGAAACUGCAUGACUGCAUCUACAGGAUAAUGGAAAAGUGGGGUGCAAUCUCUGUCCAGGUGGUGGAUGCCUUGCCCUUCCUCAAGGUCUUCCCCAAUGCCAAUUUGCGCCACCUGCUCUCCUGCAUCAAAAGCCGGGAUGCCUUGGUCCAGCACGUGAUGAAGAAACACCAGGAGCCCCACAGCACCUCAGAAGGACAGGACAUGGUGGACCACAUGCUGCAAUUCCAGCAUGACCAUGAGGCUAGUGAGUGCAAGGGGACGGGCCUUGUGCCGGAACACGUCCACAUGGCCAUUGUUGACAUGCUCAUCGGAGGUACUGAGACCACAGCAACUUUACUCAACUGGGCUGUGGCCUUUUUGGUGCAUCGCCCACAGAUCCAGGAGCGAAUCCAUGAAGAGCUCAUAGCCGUGGUGGGAACAAGCCGUGACCCCACCUAUAGUGACCGGGAGCACCUGCCCUUCUUGAACGCCACCAUCUUGGAGACCUUGCGCUUGCGCCCCUCGGCAGUCCUUGCUUUGCCCCACAUGACCAUCCGGGAUACAAGCUUGUCUGGUUUUUCCAUUCCCAAGGGGACAACAGUCAUCACUAAUCUCUAUGGGGCCCAUCAUGAUGAGAGCAAGUGGCACCGCCCCCUGGAGUUCAGACCAGAGAGGUUCCUGGAGGAGGACCCCUCGGGGGAGGCCCAGAGGCAACUCAUUCCAUUCGGUUGUGGGGCACGGGUCUGCCUGGGGGAGACUCUGGGGCGCAUGGAGGCUUUCCACGUCCUUGCACACACCCUGCGGGAUUUCCAGAUAUUGCCCCCAUCGCCUGGACACCUCCCUGACCUCAGGGGGUCCUAUCGGUUUAUUGUGCAUUGCAAGCCCUUCAGGGUGAGGCUGGUUCCCUGGGCAGCGGCGUCUGAUCUUGCAAAAUGAGGCCUCCACUGGCAGUCGGGACGACGUUCAGAGUCCCUUCCGACUCUGCAAUUCUAUGAUGCUGUUAUCUUGGGACAGUCACCGACUCUCAACUGAGUCGUUGUGAGGAUAAUAUAGAAGGGGAGGACGGGAGAACUAUUUUAUGCCACUUUGAGCUCAUUGGGAGAUAUACUCUAGCUACUUGUAGAUAGAUGUAAUAAACGUUAAUCAAUUUAACCUUAGUGUACAUUAUACUGGCUUUUUGUGGUUUUUAUAAAAGAUUUUAUUUUGCUACAAAACAAAUGGGGAAAAGUACAUAUUUUGUCUUCACAAAAUCUUUUUCACAGUUUUUUAGAGUCUUUUUAGAGUCUUUUAGAGUAUUUUUCACAGUUCAGUUACAUGUAGGGAGAGACACUUGAGUCAUGGGCAUCUUGCGAUUGGGGGAAAAGAGAGGGGAGGGAGAGUGUUGUACUUUAGUUCUGUUUCAGUGUGUUAGUGUAGGGCUUUGUGUCAGCAUCACAUGAUAGAUCCUGUGUAUCACACAAUAAAUAUUGCUGCAAACAUUUCUGAGAUCAUGGUCUUUCUAACGAGUGGCUUUCUAACGAGGUUUGUUAAUUGUCCUACUUUAAAUGUUGUGAGGAUCC